GACGAACGCUGGCGGCGUGCUUAACACAUGCAAGUCGAACGGAAAGGCCCUGAUUGCAGGGUACUCGAGUGGCGAACGGGCGAGUAACACGUGGGUGAUCUGCCCUGCACUUCGGGAUAAGCCUGGUACACUGGGUCUAAUACCGGAUAGGAGACAUUUUCAGAGCGAUGGUUGGAAAGUUUUUUCGGGGUAGGAUGAGCUAGCGACAUAUCAGCUUGUUGGUGGGGUAAUGGCCUACCAAGGCGGCGACGGGUAGCCGGCCUGAGAGGGUGGACGGCCACAUUGGGACUUAGAUACGGCCCAGACGGCUACGGGAGGCAGCAGGGGGGAAUAUUGCACAAUGGGCGCAAGCCUGAUGCAGCGACGCCGCGUGGGGGAUGACGGCCUUCGGGUUGUAAACGCCUUUCGCUAGGGACGAAGCUUUUUGUGACGGUACCUAGAUAAGAAGCACCGGCUAACUACGUG
rnacentral:rRNA from 1 species